rnacentral:rRNA from 1 species
UAAGACGGAGGGGGCUAGCGUUGUUCGGAAUUACUGGGCGUAAAGAGCGCGUAGGCGGCUUUGCAAGUUGGAAGUGAAAGCCCGGGGCUUAACCUCGGAAUUGCUUUCAAAACUGCAUAGCUAGAGUGUAGUAGGGGAUGAUGGAAUUCCUAGUGUAGAGGUGAAAUUCUUAGAUAUUAGGAGGAACACCGGUGGCGAAGGCGGUCAUCUGGGCUACAACUGACGCUGAGGUGCGAAAGCGUGGGGAGCAAACAGG